AGAAUUUUAGUGGGGGAUCAAGUCAAGUCUGGAAGUGUUACAGGAUGGAAGAGUCGGCCUGUAGUUGAAAAAACACUGAGAGUGCAUUACCGUUAAGGUGUGAGUUCUGUCACAGCUAGAGCCUCAAAUAAUUCUGCUUCUCUGGCUAAAGAACAACUUGUCCUUUACGUUCAGAGUGCUGGUGAAGCUGGGUACUUAAAUGGCCCUAAAGAUGUUUCAUUUCGUUGGCAUUGCAGCGAUAAACAUCAUACAUGGACUCUUUAGGAAAGGAUUUUCAGCAUACUGGGAACACAACUAUCAACAAUGCAACAUUCUAGGGGUGCUAUUUUAUCAUUCAAGAGCCUUAUACAAUGAUUUUCAUCUGCAAUUUGUAUGGCCUUUCCCAAGCUUCUGCCAGAAGUUGAAUCUAUAAGUCAUGUAAGUCACAUGAGCAACAAUUGAGAUGUUUAAUGGUGUUGUUUUUCUUUUCUCAAUAUAGGUUAAUAGUAAAAUUGGAUCUGAAAAGAUUCUUGGUUGGGGCAAGACACUGAAUAAAUUGUAUUGAUUGGAUGGAUGACA